GUAACAAAUCACUGAGCAUUACUUGAAAAUAUUACAAAACGUCACCAAAAAAAUGUACAUAUCUAAAUAUGUAACUACUAUAAUUCAGAGAUUUAUUUUGACCAGUUGUUUAAACAAUUAUAUUUGCAAAUGGUUAUUUACGUAAAUUAUCUACAAAAUGUCAAAUACUAUAUCAAUUAAUCUUGUAUUUUAUAUAAGACAUUUAAAUUUUAUAUAACUCAGCACAUAAAAUUAUUUAAUUCUGUUUAAAUUCAUAUGAAUAUAAAGAAAAAUAAAAGUUUAAUUGAUUCAAAGCAAAAUAAUGGAGACGAUAGCACGUCUUUUUUAAUGAAGUGGGAGCAAUGGGAGCAUUUUUCUUCGUUGUUAGGCAAUGGUUUUUGUACAUUUCAAGGUGUUCGAUUUUUAUAGAAAUAUUUAUUAUAGAAGGAAUUUCAUUGAUUUCUUUAGGCAGGGAUUAAUGAGGUACUUUUGGGUUUUCAGCUUAUAAGUUUCUUGUAAUACGAUACACGUUUUAUUGAGAAUUUAUACAGGCUGUGUGGUGCUUGCCUGAUACCAUUUGCAAUAUUUUUUUAUUUCAUACUAUAGAAAACUGUAAAACUUAUACAAAUAUGUACAUAUAUACUCAGUAAGAAAACGGAAUAUCAAAGAAAACUGAUAUGGUAACUUAUAAUUGAUCAGUUGCACGCGAUAAGAUUACAUUCUGUCGUUAGAUUAGCAACAACAUGACACAAUUUUUUUUGUCGCUUUUAUAGUGAACUGCAAAAUAAUUUUUUAUUAUGGUCUCAAUUGGUAAUUUUUUGAUCUUUGGUGUAUCAGAUUUGAAUCAUAUCUUGAGCAGUAAUGACGUCAACACAGCAAAUUGUGUGUUAAAUAUAAACUUUUCGAGGAGAGUAUUUUAGAGAAACACAAAACGACACAGGGCGCCUCUGAAGUACAUUUUUUCGCUCAGUAGAUAUUUUAUUUGCCUAACACAAAGUUAUACUACGAUAAACAUACAUAUGUACAUAUAUUGGCGUAUUAUAUUUUUACCUGCAUAUGACAAAUUUCUUUGAAAUGACUAUCUUUAUCUUUCGUUAUAUUUCACUUCCCCCUUUUGCGUAUGUUUUCGCCAACGGUGUUAAGGGUUAGACUUUAAUACUUUCUUUUGUUGAAAUUUCUUCAACUUGCGGGUUUGAAAUGAUGAAUCAUGUGUUUGAACAGAAGUUUGGUUGCUUGGGCUUUUCGCGCGUUGUGCUCAAGUACACAUUUGUAAGCAAUUACUAAACUCGAUUGUGAUUCAAUCGAUUGCCAUGUUACCUCAAGCUAGAGACGGAUGUCUCAUGUCUUAUGUGACAUGUAGCCAUAUAAGGCAGUCGUUAUAAAUCAAAAGUUUGAUGCAAAGUUAUUUGUUCAAGAUCAUGAUCAAGAUCAAGAAGCCUUCUGCUUGUUUCUUACUCACACGGUUGGCCUCUUGACAGGUUACAACCUAUUGGGAUCAAUGCAAGCCGAAUGGGCAUAAAUGUUAAUACAUGCAGAAAGUAGAGAAGUUGACAUGACAGAGACGCUGAAACACCUCCUAUGUCUGCGUCCAACACUGUGUACCUUGGAAUUAUGGCGAAACUUAAGUAAACUGAGUCUACAUCAGGCAUUAAGGACUUGUAGGUCUAUGUAUGGCGUGAUUGCCGGCCAGUAUAACCUAAUGUAUUUGUUCAUUUUAGAAAGUUGUACAGCGAUGUUCUCGACUUAAUAAGGACUGGAUUUUGUGUUAUCUGUACUUGCCUGCCCAUUCAUCUGUGUUCUUGCUGUUUGCUCGCAAUUUCCUACGCAAAAAUGCUCUUGAUAAAAACUCAAAUAAAGAUUCUAUGUACUGAUAACUGUA
rnacentral:lncRNA from 1 species